GGGCCUGUAGUUCAGCUGGUUAGAACGGCCGGCUCAUAACCGGCUAGUCGAAGGUUCGAGUCCUUCCAGGCCCACCA
rnacentral:tRNA from 1 species